UCCCUGGUAGCUCAGAUGGUACUGAAUCUGCCUGCAAUGCAGGAGGCCCAGGUUCUAUCCCUGGGUGGGGAA
rnacentral:tRNA from 1 species